rnacentral:rRNA from 1 species
CCAACAGGGAUUGCCUCAGUAACGGCGAGUGAAGCGGCAAGAGCUCAAAUUUGAAAUCUGGCUCCUUCGGGGCCCGAGUUGUAAUUUGUAGAGGGUGCUUUGGCGUUGGCUAUGGCGCAAGUUCCUUGGAACGGGACGUCAUAGAGGGUGAGAACCCCGUACAUGGCCGCUGGCCUUCGCCGUGUAAAGCCCCUUCGACGAGUCGAGUUGUUUGGGAAUGCAGCUCUAAAUGGGAGGUAAAUUUCUUCUAAAGCUAAAUACUGGCCAGAGACCGAUAGCGCACAAGUAGAGUGAUCGAAAGAUGAAAAGCACUUUGGAAAGAGAGUCAAAAAGCACGUGAAAUUGUUGAAAGGGAAGCGCUUGCAGCCAGACGUGCCCGUAGUUGCUCAUCCGAGCCUCCGCUCGGUGCACUCUUCUAUGGGCAGGCCAGCAUCAGUUCGGGCGGUCGGAUAAAGGCCUCGGGAAUGUAGCUCUCUCCGGGGAGUGUUAUAGCCCGUGGCGCCAUGCGACCAGCCUGGACUGAGGUCCGCGCAUCUGCUAGGAUGCUGGCGUAAUGGCUGUAAGCGGCCCGUCUUGAAACACGGACCAAGGAGUCUAACAUCUAUGCGAGUGUUUGGGUGUCAAGCCCGGGCGCGCAAUGAAAGUGAACGGAGGUGGGAACCCGCAAGGGCGCACCAUCGACCGAUCCUGAUGUCUUCGGAUGGAUUUGAGUAAGAGCAUAGCUGUUGGGACCCGAAAGAUGGUGAACUAUGCCUGAAUAGGGUGAAGCCAGAGGAAACUCUGGUGGAGGCUCGCAGCGGUUCUGACGUGCAAAUCGAUCGUCAAAUUUGGGCAUAGGGGCGAAAGACUAAUCGA